UAUCAGCUGGGAUCUCUCACCAAGGGUUGAGGUGUGCUUGUUUCCUGGGCGGAGAUGGAGAGUGGGGCAGAUGCUACCAGCCGUCGGGGCGCGGCAUGAUGCACUUGUUCAGCCAAAGCUAGUGAUAGCCAUGACCUGAACAACCACAGGCAAAGGAAGAAGAGCAAAACCAACAGCCAGCAUCGGCUAAAAUCCUGGUGCCCACUUCGUCCCUGCUCAGCACACAGGAGCUGCAGGGAUUUGUGUGUAUUAUCCUUACAGGGGACCCUAGGCCACCAGGUCGGCUUCACAGAGGCUGCUGGGAAGUGCCUUGUCCCCAGCUAAGCUUCUUUCCCUGUUGGCAUGUCGUAGGAGGAGGAUGAGAUUGGUGUUUUCUGCUGCACAAUGUCAGCUGAGGGAUGAGAACAGCGCACCAAGAGGAGGAGAGCUGCUGUGGGUGAAGACCAUCCCUUGCAAACGCGAAGCACAGCAAGUCCAAACCAGCAUGUUUCCCCCCUCUCCGUGGGGAUCAGACUGCAGUAGUGAAGAGACAUGGAGCCAGUCCCCGGUGCUAAACUACAAAACCACAGGUUUCAGCAAAGCCCUUCAAGCCAGUCCGUCCCCCAGCAGUGUCGCUGCCCCUUGCUUUUGACUGGGGUCUGGAAAUAUCAGCAGCAAUACGUUUGGUACUGCUGGUGCAUUAAGCCGGAGAAGCAUUUUGGUAAAAUCUACCUCAUUUUGAAAAGUGAGCAGGAUUUCCGUUU